GAGGGCUGUGCAGGGAUGUGGUGCCAGCUGCUUCCUGGAGCAGCUUGGCAUGGGGCCAGGGCAGGUAGGCAGGCAGGCAGGGAGCUUGCCCGGGCCCCAGUGCAUGCCGCUGCCACCCUGCAGCUACUUUAGAUCCCGCCUUCUAUGCCCCCCACCUGUGGCUACUGACUCCAGCUCCAACCCUUGGCUUGACUCCUGAUUGACCCCCAGCUCCAGUUCCAGGUUUCCAACUCCUGCUCUGACCACCACUGCUCUGACUACAGGGUCUGACCAUCUGCCUCCCGGUCCAUGACACUCCAAGUAUAGACAUAGCCUGACUCAUAGUUUGGUUCCUACCUGGCCCAUCCCUUACUCAGCUGGACUGGAUGGUUACAAUCCAGCCUUACAGAGGGAAAAGAGUGAGUCUGGCUGUACCAAUUAAUCUCAAACGCACAGGGUAACUACUCUGACCACUGGGUCUGUCUCUAAUCUUGUUGAGUUCUAGACAUAGGCGCUGACUCUGUGGGUGUUCUAGCCUUGGAGCACCCAUGGAAAAAAAUAGUGGGUGCUUAAUGAUCAGCUCCUCCCUCUCUCCCCACAGUGCCUCCCACCC